GAUUCCCCGAGUAAUAACGGCUGAAAAGGGAAGAGCCCAGCGCAGAACCUCGCGGUCCACUGUUGGCCGACGAGGGGUGUUGCGUUUAGGUGGAUCUAUAUCUCCCAGACCGCUUUACCGUCCAAGUCUAUGUUUGAAUACAGCCCCAUUGAGGGUGAGAGGCCCGUAUGCGGCGGUGUCCUGUAAAAAAGGCGUUGAGCUGUGUCUGGGUGGAGGGGUCUUCACCUUAGAGUCGGGUUGCUUAAUACUGCAGCCCUAAGGAGGUGGUAAACUCCAUCUAAGGCUAAAUAUAACCACGAGUCCGAUAGACGACAAGUACCGUGAGGGAAAGUUGAAAAGGACUUUGAAGAGAGAGUUCAACAGUACGUGAAACCGUUAGAAGCAUAAACGGGUGGCACCAAGAAGGUCGAACGAGUGGAUUCAGCUGGUGGGCCUGCGGGCGAGUCAUGGUGUAGGGGUCUGCAUGUUGUAAAUGGGCACAUAUUGCGGACUUCCCUGUUUACCACGGCCCCGCAGCGUCCCGCGGGUUCAAUUCCACUUCUUGUAGCAUUGGCGCGAGCCGUUGCGGGGACCCCGGAGGCCUGGGCGUGCGUUCAUUUAACAGGUUAGGUGAAGCCGCGCUCGUUCUGUGUGGGCCCCUGCGACGGAGAUUGGGGAGACUA
rnacentral:rRNA from 1 species